ACAUGGGAAGUUUCACAAUUUUUAAUCCAAGAUGCAAAGAAUUGAAGUAAUCCUGCAAAGCUGUAGCAAGGCACAGAUUACAUGGAAGACAUCUUUCCAACAAGAUGGAUUUUAUUUUUGGCCUCAGGUGAAGAAUGCUGGAUUUUACUUAUUCACUGAUCUGCCCAUGCAGUCUUAUGUCCAAAGAAAUUAAAAUCACAUACACACAGAAGAGCUUAAUUUCUUAGAAAUGUGUUUAUGAUGUUCAGGGUUUGUCGUGUUUUUAAUUUUGCCCAAUAUAAACCUCCUAGAACAUUAGGACAUAAAUUUGACUGAAGGUUUGAUUUUGUUUUUCACCACAGUGUGCUGUAAACAGAAUGAUUUAUGAUGUUUUGCACUUUUAGCUAACAAAAAAUAUGAUCAGCUGAACUGAUGACUAAAUAAUAUUACAAUGCUUAGCAGUCUCUUUCCACAAAACUCCAUCUUCAGGCUCCUGUAAAUUAAAUAGUCCUGCCUCCCGUCUGUAACCUUUUUUCUAUACUAAGUCUCUGCUCAGAUCAUUUCUGAGUAGGGACUCAGCAUGUUGAUACAUUGCAGUGGAAAUGUAUCAAUAUGCAGGUCGAUUCUGUACGCGAUUUUGUCGGUUUAUAUUGUAAAAGCGGCCCAUAGAACCGAUCAGAACUGAAACAAUCCUACCCUGUUUCAGUUGUAGUCCGUACGACUACAGUACAGCUAAGGCGGCGCUGCAGAACACACUUUAUUGAACGAGGGACAGAAAAUGUCACUACUUGCGACAAAGAGGAGACUUGCUGUCUUAGUACACUUGAAAUCGCUUUAAUAGAACGCCAUGUGAGGCGUUUGGGUUGAACCCUGCAUGAUCAGUGAGAGUCCAACUGGAGGCUUAAACGCUCUCCUGAAUGUGUAGGACCAUAAAAUGUUGCACAGCGCCGCACCGAACAGUACUGCUCAGUGGAAACGAGAUAUGGAUGACAUUCUGCUGGCAAACUUUGUUUAUUGGAGACGCAUAGCCACAUUUUCCCCUUGUAUAUUUAUAGCAUAAAGCACAAAUCUGGGUUGGGAUGCAGUUGUAUCCAUCCAAUGAAAUAAUGUGUCAUUUAGCAAACAUCUUACAUGUCUAAUAAUGCAUCACAAUAAGCUAAUUGCUGAUCUGAUUGUGGCACUUUCUGCAUUGCAAAGAAAUAAACCAAUGUGUUUUCAGGUGCAGUUUUGCUGAUAUCUAAUGACUCCGCACAAUGAGUGCGUAAGGCACUUUGCUGACUUUGAAGUGUAGAAACAUUAUCCAUAUGCUUUUCUCGUGGAGAAAGCACAUGCACACAUCCAGAUGGAGAUUAUAGAACUACAGUAUAACAUCACGGAAUGUCUCCUUCUGAUUCUCACACUUUCCUUCUUCAUCCUGGAGCCCAGGCCCAAACUUCACCUAUUAGCUGCGCAAACAUCAAAAACCACGUUAACCAUGCUCGCAACACGCAACAUACCACGCAACAGGCCUUCGUUCAACUGUUCAGUUUUUCUGAGAAAGACUGCUCUGAAUAUAGUAGAAAAAAUUACUUUAAAUUAUCAAUCUUCAAAGUAGGUAUGACUUAAAGCACAGUUGGCAUGAAGCAUUCAGAGGCAAACGGCUUUUUCAUUGCAUACCUAAAAAAUCUGCAGAGGAGCAAAAUGGAACAAACACCUUUGAUUCCUCUUGCAUCUACAAAUUGUUGAACCAGUCACACCCUUUUUCCUUUAGCGUUGCAUAGUGGCUGUUGAGCACUUUGCUCUUUGCUCCAGUCUUGUCUGACUUGUGCUGCACUUUGUCUCCAGUUAAGGAAAACGAAACUUGAAAAUGUUUUUGUAUUGUGUCCAAUAGUGCUUUUCCAGUCAGUUUAUUUAUAUAGCGUCAAUUCACAACAAGUGUUGUCUCAAGACACUUUACACAGAUCAUUCCAAUUCAAUCAUACAUACAUUCCAAUUGAUUCUAGUAAUCAAACAGU